AUUGGUUUUAAAUUAACUCGAAAACAUCUCAACAGAAGUUUUAAUAAAAUUGCAUUAUUCUCACAGUUUUGGUACUCAAAUAACAGAAACGCCAUUCGAUUCCAAAAUAAAUGAAAUGCCAAUUCUAACGAAUUCUAUAACAGCGCGAUCAAGGUCUUCUAGUUUUUUUUUAUUUUUAAAGAAAAAAAAACAGAGCUAUUGUUCUUGAAGUUUUGACAAUAAAAGAUAGGAUUAUCUAUUAGGGAGGAGGAAAACUAAAAGAAUUCCGUAGAACCAGUCGGGAAGUACGCCAUCAGACUGGUAAGGGAAAAAAAAAAGAUUAAACAUUCAUAAUAGCAGAUAACAGCUGUUUUCUUUUUUGAAAAGAAAUCUAAUAGCGCUUUCAAUUACAAAACAUAAAUAAUGAUUCUUUUUUCAAUAAGUUUUGGCAGUUCUUGCAUGAAGUAAAUGUAAAAGAAAGGAAUUUGAAAAGAAUUAUGAUUCAUUAUUCAAGACUAUUAGUCACAUGUCUAGACUCCUGACUACUAUCGGUAUCCGCUGAGGACGUCGAUCCGAUUCGUUCACCAACUUUUCUACAGGCAACAAUUCCUGAAUCUACAUCACUGUCCUGCCGAUCUUGUCCAGCUGCAUCUGUAAAAGUUGCCAGCUUAAUAUCUACACAAGUUUGAAAUAUAUCUAAUGUAUAAAUGUCAAACAUGCGCGAAACAAUAUUUCCUGGCAUGCAACGCAAUAAUAAUAAAAAAAAAAAACUUUUAA